rnacentral:rRNA from 1 species
AGUGAACGCUGGCGGUAGGCCUAAUACAUGCAAGUCGAACGGCAGCACAGUAAGAGCUUGCUCUUACGGGUGGCGAGUGGCGGACGGGUGAGGAAUACAUCGGAAUCUACUUUUCGUGGGGGAUAACGUAGGGAAACUUACGCUAAUACCGCAUACGACCUACGGGUGAAAGCAGGGGAUCUUCGGACCUUGCGCGAUUGAAUGAGCCGAUGUCGGAUUAGCUAGUUGGCGGGGUAAAGGCCCACCAAGGCGACGAUCCGUAGCUGGUCUGAGAGGAUGAUCAGCCACACUGGAACUGAGACACGGUCCAGACUCCUACGGGAGGCAGCAGUGGGGAAUAUUGGACAAUGGGCGCAAGCCUGAUCCAGCCAUACCGCGUGGGUGAAGAAGGCCUUCGGGUUGUAAAGCCCUUUUGUUGGGAAAGAAAAGCAGCAGGUUAAUACCCCGCUGUUCUGACGGUACCCAAAGAAUAAGCACCGGCUAACUUCGUG